AGUGAACGCUGGCGGUAGGCCUAACACAUGCAAGUCGAACGGCAGCACAGUAAGAGCUUGCUCUUACGGGUGGCGAGUGGCGGACGGGUGAGGAAUACAUCGGAAUCUACUUUUUCGUGGGGGAUAACGUAGGGAGACUUACGCUAAUACCGCAUACGACCUACGGGUGAAAGCAGGGGAUCUUCGGACCUUGCGCGAUUGAAUGAGCCGAUGUCGGAUUAGCUAGUUGGCGGGGUAAAGGCCCACCAAGGCGACGAUCCGUAGCUGGUCUGAGAGGAUGAUCAGCCACACUGGAACUGAGACACGGUCCAGACUCCUACGGGAGGCAGCAGUGGGGAAUAUUGGACAAUGGGCGCAAGCCUGAUCCAGCCAUACCGCGUGGGUGAAGAAGGCCUUCGGAUUGUAAAGCCCUUUUGUUGGGAAAGAAAAGCAGCAGGUUAAUACCCCGCUGUUCUGACGGUACCCAAAGAAUAAGCACCGGCUAACUUCGUG
rnacentral:rRNA from 1 species